UUGAAUGAAUUGGGCUACAAAGCAUUGCUUCA
rnacentral:piRNA from 1 species